rnacentral:rRNA from 1 species
AGAGUUUGAUCAUGGCUCAGGACGAACGCUGGCGGCGUGCUUAACACAUGCAAGUCGAACGGUGACGAUCAAGCUUGCUUGGUCUGAUCAGUGGCGAACGGGUGAGUAACACGUGAGUAACCUGCCCCAGACUCUGGGAUAACCCCGGGAAACCGGAGCUAAUACCGGAUAUGACACCAACCUGCAUGGGUAUGGUGUGGAAAGUUUUUCGGUCUGGGAUGGACUCGCGGCCUAUCAGCUUGUUGGUGAGGUAAUGGCUCACCAAGGCGACGACGGGUAGCCGGCCUGAGAGGGCGACCGGCCACACUGGGACUGAGACACGGCCCAGACUCCUACGGGAGGCAGCAGUGGGGAAUAUUGCACAAUGGGCGAAAGCCUGAUGCAGCGACGCCGCGUGAGGGAUGACGGCCUUCGGGUUGUAAACCUCUUUCAGCAGGGAAGAAGCGCAAGUGACGGUACCUGCAGAAGAAGCACCGGCUAACUACGUGCCAGCAGCCGCGGUA